CGAAUCCUAGGUCACCGCACACCGCCGCCGCCGCUGCGAAUCCCUAGGGACGCCGCACGCCGCCGCGAAUCCCCAGGGACGCCGCCGCCGUCGUCGCGGAUCCCCAAGGGCGUGGUCGUGUUGCCCUGAUUGGAGGAGACCGUGCCAGCCUUGCCUUUUUUGGAGGACGAACACAUGUAUUUCGAGGCCCAUGUACGUCAAUCCCGACCUCCGCUUUCCCCCUUUUCCAUCGAGGGCCGUCGCCGCUGCUUCGUCUUCUAUCUCUCUGGAUCCCCAUCGGCACCCUCGCCAUGCCAUCUCAACGUCAGCGGCCCGACGACGCCGACUCCUUAUCGACUCCUGAGGCGUCCGCCUCUCUGCACUCCAUUAUCAGACUCCCCAACUGCCCGCCGGCUGCCUCCCUGCACUUUGACGCCGGCUUUCCACAUCUUCGUGACGCAACCAGAUCACUGCAAAUUUGCGCCAUUCAUGCCAGCAACCUAAUCAUAUUUUCAGCAUGCGUUUUUCUCUUUUGUGCAGGCCACAAUAUCAAUGGAAGAACAACGCCCAAACAUAACUGAUGUCUCCAUGUUCCAUUGGUUUGUCGGACAGAACAAUUGACAUGGCCAAAUUGCAUGUUUCAUUCUAGAUCGUAGGAGGUUGGACCUUUGGAUUUGGAUGCUAUCAUGCAGAUCGAGAAGGAAGUAGAGUAUAAAAUUUGCGGUGUUCAAGUUGUUACUUUAAGAUGAAAAAUAAAAGAGCAGAAAAGACGAUGAUGUGUACAGCAGAAAAUAAGAAGAUAUAUGGAGUAUGCUUCAGAUAUAGGAGGACUAGGUGCGUGCAUUGUAAAUGCAUACAUAUUUAAGUGGUGUCCAGGACAAUGAAUACAAAACAAAACGUUGCAAUGCAACGGCGAGUGGCAGCGGAGGGCUGGAGGCGGCAGGAGGAGCAGGUAGAUGAAAGCAAGUAAGCGACGGCGGCCUACAUGUAUGGCUUGGUACUGAAGAACAUCUGUUUAUCUUUAGGAGAUCUUGUGUUGUGUUUUGUUACGAAUUAUCGU